rnacentral:rRNA from 1 species
GAUGAACGCUGGCGGCGUGCCUAACACAUGCAAGUCGAGCGGAGAAUUGUUGCUUGCACCAAUUCUUAGCGGCGGACGGGUGAGUAACACGUGGGUAACCUGCCCUAAACAAAGGGAUAACAAUGAGAAAUCAUUGCUAAUACCGUAUAAGCUUACACUAUCGCAUGAUAGAGUAAGAAAAGAUUUAUCGGUUUAGGAGGGGCCCGCGUCUGAUUAGCUAGUUGGAGAGGUAACGGCUCACCAAGGCGACGAUCAGUAGCCGACCUGAGAGGGUGAUCGGCCACAUUGGGACUGAGACACGGCCCAAACUCCUACGGGAGGCAGCAGUGGGGAAUAUUGCACAAUGGAGGAAACUCUGAUGCAGCAACGCCGCGUGAAGGAAGAAGGUUUUCGGAUCGUAAACUUCUAACUACAGGGAAGAAAAAAAUGACGGUACCUGAGUAAGAAGCCCCGGCUAACUACGUG